GUGCUUAUACUGCCUUCCAAAGUGAAGAGGAGAUGAACAUGGCUUUGCAUAGCUGUUGUUCUAUGCCAACUUACCUACUCUUGCUGGUACCGUAGUGCUAUAUUGCAAAUUUCGUGGACGAACAACUCUAGUCACUAGUGGCUAGUGAGCAACACUAACAGAGCCUUGACGUUGCUGGACGAGCGACAAUAUAAAUUACAUAAACAUGUAGCUCGUGAUGUGGGAUGACUGCCGUAUCGCAUUGCCAACGCAAACCCUUCCUGUGUCAGUGCAGCCAUCCAGCAACUUGAACUCCCCGGACCAGAUGCCGCUGCAGCUGAACACCAUGCCGAUGGAAAGCCAGGAGUUGAUAGCGAAGCAUUCUGGUCUGCACAGUACAAGGCAAAGAACAAUUAUGAAUUAUAAUGCAUUGUAAUCUUUCCCACACUUCUUUGUAAAAACAAACAAACAGUGCCAUUAUCACAACACUUGAUCAAGCAUCUUGAUGGAGGUAUUUUCCAUUGUGCUGGCUCAGCAUCUGCACCAGGAAGACCAUGUACACUUA